AACCGGAUUAGAUACCCUGGUAGUCCACGCCGUAAACGAUAAGUGCUAAGUGUUGGAGGGUUUCCGCCCUUCAGUGCUGCAGCAAACGCAUUAAGCACUCCGCCUGGGGAGUACGACCGCAAGGUUGAAACUCAAAGGAAUUGACGGGGGCCCGCACAAGCGGUGGAGCAUGUGGUUUAAUUCGAAGCAACGCGAAGAACCUUACCAGGUCUUGACAUCCUUUGACCACUCUAGAGAUAGAGCUUCCCCUUCGGGGGCAAAGUGACAGGUGGUGCAUGGUUGUCGUCAGCUCGUGUCGUGAGAUGUUGGGUUAAGUCCCGCAACGAGCGCAACCCUUAUUGUUAGUUGCCAUCAUUUAGUUGGGCACUCUAGCGAGACUGCCGGUGACAAACCGGAGGAAGGUGGGGAUGACGUCAAAUCAUCAUGCCCCUUAUGACCUGGGCUACACACGUGCUACAAUGGGAAGUACAACGAGUUGCGAAGUCGCGAGGCUAAGCUAAUCUCUUAAAGCUUCUCUCAGUUCGGAUUGUAGGCUGCAACUCGCCUACAUGAAGCCGGAAUCGCA
rnacentral:rRNA from 1 species